rnacentral:rRNA from 1 species
GCCUCUUGGUCUGGGACAACUGUUGGAAACGACAGCUAAUACCGGAUAUUAUGAGAUUCUCGCAUGGGAAACUUAUGAAAGCUAUAUGCGCCAAGAGAGAGCCUUGCGUUCCAUUAGCUAGUUGGUGGGGUAACGGCCCACCAAGGCGACGAUGGAUAGCCGGCCUGAGAGGGUGAACGGCCACAAGGGGACUGAGACACGGCCCUUACUCCUACGGGAGGCAGCAGUGGGGAAUAUUGGACAAUGGGCCACAAGCCUGAUCCAGCAAUUCUGUGUGCACGAUGAAGGUCUUCGGAUUGUAAAGUGCUUUCAGUUGGGAAGAAGAAAGUGACGGUACCAACAGAAGAAGCGACGGCUAAAUACGUGCCAGCAGCCGCGGUAAUACGUAUGUCGCAAGCGUUAUCCGGAUUUAUUGGGCGUAAAGCGCGUCUAGGCGGAAAAAUAAGUCUGAUGUUAAAAUGCGGGGCUCAACUCCGUAUUGCGUUGGAAACUGUUUUUCUAGAGUACUGGAGAGGUGGGCGGAACUACAAGUGUAGAGGUGAAAUUCGUAGAUAUUUGUAGGAAUGCCGAUGGAGAAGUCAGCUCACUGGACAGAUACUGACGCUAAAGCGCGAAAGCGUGGGGAGCAAACAGGAUUAGAUACCC